rnacentral:misc_RNA from 1 species
GAUGAAGAACGUAGCGAAAUGCGAUACUUGGUGUGAAUUGCAGAAUCCCGUGAACCAUCGAGUCUUUGAACGCAAGUUGCACCCGAAGCCACUAGGCCGAGGGCACGCCUGCCUGGGCGUCACACGUCGUUGCCCCCCCAUCUACUCCUUCGGGAUUGCGGGGGGGCGGAUGAUGGCCUCCCGUGCGCCUAGCCGCGCGGUUGGCAUAAAUACCAAGUCCUCGGCGACGCACGCCACGACAAUCGGUGGUUGCGAAACCUCGGUUGCCCGUCGUGUGCGUUCGUCGCGCAUCGAGGGCUCGAAAAAAUGCUCGGCUCCGGCUGGGCUUUCAACGCGACCCCAGGUCAGGCGGGGUUACCCGCUGAAUUUAAGCAUAUCAAUAAGCGGAGGA